rnacentral:tRNA from 1 species
GCGACGGUAGCUCAAUUGGCAGAGCAUUGGUUUUACUAGUUGUCCAAGAGUUGCAGGUUCGAAUCCUGCCCGUCGCU